CCCGUCUCCAUGGGAACGCUCUGAGUGUCCUGUCCGAGGCCUGAGGCUUUGGUUUUGGUCAAGCAGGGUGGCAGACGUUGUUUGGACGGAGUGUUUGAGUUGGUCCCUGUUCCUCUCCAGAGGCUCCGUAAGUGACGCGGACUCUCGGGAGCACCAAACCAGAAGCAGACAAGGACGAGAAGAGCUGUGGCAGAAGAGAGGGCCAGGUGUCGAGAAGCCGCUCAGGCUUAGAAAUCUCGGACUCCAGUGUAGGGACCUGUGAUCAGCAAGGGAGGACCAGAGUGGCAAAGACUAAUGCCCCCAUUUUACAGGUGAGGAAAGUGAGGUCCUAGGAGGUCUAGAAGUUUGGUCUUUUUCAGAGUUCUACAAGUGGUUGGUGGGAUUAUGAUCACGUAGUGGAAACCCUAGAUCUGGGAUCUUCUGCUAAGAUUCUGUACUCUGAUCUAAUAAUAAAUCCAGUAUUUAUGUUGUAAGAAGUGGGGUGGGAGAGGGUGAUGGAAUUAACCUUUCUACUUUACUGACUGAACAAAAUUUAAAAAAUGCUUUUAGAAAGAAGCUUUUUAAGUGUGUUGCUGUUAUUCCAAUUGUUUUUAUUUUUCUUGUUAAUUAUAAACUAGGAAAAUUUUGAUGCUCAGAGAGGUUAAAUUACAUGGAAAGCAUCUGUAUUCCUGGAGAGACUAAACUUUGAGAUCAAGUUCUAUGUUUUCAUGCCCAGGCUAGAACUGUACUUUUCUAGAUGUUCAGAAAUGAGGUC
rnacentral:lncRNA from 1 species